rnacentral:sRNA from 1 species
UCAAGCAACUCAGAACAAAGGCUAAAUUAGAAUAUUAAACAACAUAUAACACACCAGUAUAUACAAGGUUUUAGUUUUUUAUUUUUUGGGCCUUUGUUUGGUUUUAUUUUGGUUGAAAGCAGCUGACUUUGACCUUGCUAGAAAUUACAUGUACAACUUGUGUUGUGCAUAUACUUCACAGCCUACAUCAGGGCAUUAUAGCUAGGCCAUGACUUUUGUUUCAUGUGGUUUCUUUUUAAAACACUAACAAACAAUGAAUAUUCUGAAAUUAAAGAAAUGCUGUUGUUGUUGUGUCGAUUUGCGCUGUGGCUGUGUCAUAAUCUAUGCGAUCGAGUUCUUUUUUGCUGUCUGCGGUCUUUGCCUGGGUGAAUGGUCUGAAAAUAAUCACUUUUGGAUAGUGUUACGCAUCGGUUAUAUGGCGCACCUGAUUGGCACCGUUUUUCUGCUCAUGGGCAUCAUUUUAAAAUCGCCUAGCUUUUUGAUGGUUUAUUUGGUAACAAAUGGCAUACACGUUUUUACCAGCACUACAUACCUCAUUCUCUGGGCUUUGCGAUGUGUU